GACGAACGCUGGCUGCGUGCUUAACACAUGCAAGUCGAACGCUGAAGCCUGGUGCUUGCACCGGGUGGAUGAGUGGCGAACGGGUGAGUGACACGUGAGUAACCUGCCCCUGACUUCGGGAUAAGCCCGGGAAACUGGGUCUAAUACCGGAUACGACUGCCGGACGCAUGUCUGGUGGUGGAAAGUUUUUUCGGUUGGGGAUGGGCUCGCGGCCUAUCAGUUUGUUGGUGAGGUAAUGGCUCACCAAGACGACGACGGGUAGCCGGCCUGAGAGGGCGACCGGCCACACUGGGACUGAGACACGGCCCAGACUCCUACGGGAGGCAGCAGUGGGGAAUAUUGCACAAUGGGGGAAACCCUGAUGCAGCGACGCAGCGUGCGGGAUGACGGCCUUCGGGCUGUAAACCGCUUUCAGCAGGGAAGAAGCGCAAGUGACGGUACCUGCAGAAGAAGUACCGGCUAACUACGUGCCAGCAGCCGCGGUAAUACGUAGGGUACGAGCGUUGUCCGGAAUUAUUGGGCGUAAAGAGCUCGUAGGUGGUUGGUCACGUCUGCUGUGGAAACGCAACGCUUAACGUUGCGCGUGCAGUGGGUACGGGCUGACUAGAGUGCAGUAGGGGAGUCUGGAAUUCCUGGUGUAGCGGUGAAAUGCGCAGAUAUCAGGAGGAACACCGGUGGCGAAGGCGGGACUCUGGGCUGUAACUGACACUGAGGAGCGAAAGCAUGGGGAGCGAACAGGAUUAGAUACCCUGGUAGUCCAUGCCGUAAACGUUGGGCACUAGGUGUGGGGGGCAUUCCACGUUCUCCGCGCCGUAGCUAACGCAUUAAGUGCCCCGCCUGGGGAGUACGGUCGCAAGGCUAAAACUCAAAGGAAUUGACGGGGGCCCGCACAAGCGGCGGAGCAUGCGGAUUAAUUCGAUGCAACGCGAAGAACCUUACCAAGGCUUGACAUACACCGGACCGUCCUGGAAACAGGUCCUCUUCUUUGAAGCUGGUGUACAGGUGGUGCAUGGUUGUCGUCAGCUCGUGUCGUGAGAUGUUGGGUUAAGUCCCGCAACGAGCGCAACCCUCGUUCUAUGUUGCCAGCACGUGAUGGUGGGAACUCAUAGGAGACUGCCGGGGUCAACUCGGAGGAAGGUGGGGAUGACGUCAAAUCAUCAUGCCCUUUAUGUCUUGGGCUUCACGCAUGCUACAAUGGCUGGUACAGAGAGAGGCGAACCCGUGAGGGCAAGCGAAUCCCUUAAAGCCAGUCUCAGUUCGGAUCGUAGUCUGCAAUUCGACUACGUGAAGUCGGAGUCGCUAGUAAUCGCAGAUCAGCAACGCUGCGGUGAAUACGUUCCCGGGCCU
rnacentral:rRNA from 1 species